rnacentral:rRNA from 1 species
AUACGUAGGGGGCGAGCGUUGUCCGGAAUGAUUGGGCGUAAAGGGCGCGUAGGCGGCUUUGCAAGUCAGUAGUGGAAGUCCAUUUUUCAAGGAUGGAAGUGCUACAGAAACUGCGGAGCUUGAGUGCAGGAGAGGUUAUCGGAAUUCCCGGUGUAGCGGUGAAAUGCGUAGAGAUCGGGAGGAACACCAGUGGCGAAGGCGGGUAACUGGACUGCAACUGACGCUGAGGCGCGAAAGUGUGGGGAGCAAACAGGAUUAGAUGCCCUGGUAGUCCACACUGUAAACGAUGAAUGCUAGGUGUAGGAGGUAUCGACCCCUUCUGUGCCGCAGUAAACACAGUAAGCAUUCCGCCUGGGGAGUACGGUCGCAAGAUUAAAACUCAAAUGAAUUGACGGGG